AGCGAACGCUGGCGGCAGGCCUAACACAUGCAAGUCGAACGGACCCUUCGGGGUUAGUGGCGGACGGGUGAGUAACACGUGGGAACGUGCCUUUAGGUUCGGAAUAGCUCCUGGAAACGGGUGGUAAUGCCGAGUGUGCCCUUCGGGGGAAAGAUUUAUCGCCUUUAGAGCGGCCCGCGUCUGAUUAGCUAGUUGGUGAGGUAAUGGCUCACCAAGGCGACGAUCAGUAGCUGGUCUGAGGGGAUGACCAGCCACAUUGGGACUGAGACACGGCCCAAACUCCUACGGGAGGCAGCAGUGGGGAAUCUUGCGCAAUGGGCGAAAGCCUGACGCAGCCAUGCCGCGUGAAUGAUGAAGGUCUUAGGAUUGUAAAAUUCUUUCACCGGGGACGAUAAUGACGGUACCCGGAGAAGAAGCCCCAGCUAACUUCGUGCCAGCCGCCGCCGUAACAC
rnacentral:rRNA from 1 species